AGAGUUGAUCAUGGCUCAGAACGAACGCUGGCGGCAGGCCUAACACAUGCAAGUCGAACGAAGUCUUCGGACUUAGUGGCGCACGGGUGAGUAACACGUGGGAAUAUACCUUUCGCUGGGGGAUAACGUCGGGAAACUGACGCUAAUACCGCAUACGCCCUUUGGGGGAAAGAUUUAUCGGCGAGAGAUUAGCCCGCGUCCGAUUAGGUAGUUGGUGAGGUAACGGCUCACCAAGCCUUCGAUCGGUAGCUGGUCUGAGAGGAUGAUCAGCCACACUGGGACUGAGACACGGCCCAGACUCCUACGGGAGGCAGCAGUGGGGAAUAUUGGACAAUGGGCGCAAGCCUGAUCCAGCCAUGCCGCGUGAGUGAUGAAGGCCUUAGGGUUGUAAAGCUCUUUCACCCACGACGAUGAUGACGGUAGUUGGAGAAGAAGCCCC
rnacentral:rRNA from 1 species